rnacentral:rRNA from 1 species
AAACUAACUAGGAUUCCCUUAGUAACGGCGAGUGAACCGGGAUGAGCUCAAAUUUGAAAUCUGGCGUCUUUCAGGCGUCCGAGUUGUAAUCUAUAGAGGCGUUUUCCGCGCCGGACCGCGUCCAAGUCUCUUGGAAUAGAGUAUCAAAGAGGGUGACAAUCCCGUACUUGACGCGACAACCGGUGCUCUGUGAUACGUUCUCAAUGAGUCGAGUUGUUUGGGAAUGCAGCUCUAAAUGGGUGGUAAAUUCCAUCUAAGGCUAAAUAUUGGCGAGAGACCGAUAGCGAACAAGUACCGUGAGGGAAAGAUGAAAAGCACUUUGGAAAGAGAGUUAAACAGCACGUGAAAUUGUUAAAAGGGAAACGAUUGAAGUCAGUCGUGUGGGAAGUAUUCAGCCGUCUCUGGCGGUGUAUUUGCUUCUCACGGGUCAACAUCAGUUUGAUCCGGUAGAAAAAGGCGGGAAGAAGGUGGCACCCUCGGGUGUGUUAUAGCUUCCUGUCAUAUGUGCCGGACCAGACUGAGGAACGCAGCUUGCAGCAAUGCCGGGGUUCGCCCACGUACAAGCUUAGGAUGUUGACAUAAUGGCUUUAAACGACCCGUCUGAAC